rnacentral:rRNA from 1 species
AUGGAGCUGGGGCUGGAGCUGGAGCUGGAGAGCAGCGUGGUGGGCGCGAUCGUAGAGGCCAGCCUUGACCGGGAAAAGCUGCCGGCGAUGCUGCUGCUGUGCGGCGUCCUCGAGGCCGCCGGGGCGCUUUGGCUGCUCGUCUACCGGGGUCCAGGCGGCGUCUUCCUCCAUGGUGGCAAGGUGGUCUUCUACUCCUACUACACCAUUCUCGUCGCUCUGGUGCUCUUCGGCUGCGCAGAGGCUUGGGCUGGCCUGUGGGUGAACCAGCGGCCAUGCGACCGACGAGCAGUCGGGAGGACCGUCCUGUGGUGCUCCAUCCUGCCUCUCGUCCUUGUUGCGGGCCUCGGGGCUUUUGCAUCCGCCAUCCCCAAAUAG